rnacentral:rRNA from 1 species
GUCUAUGGCCAUGCCACCCUGAACGAGCCCGAUCCCGUCCGAUCCCAGAAGCUAAGCAGGGUCAGGCCUGGUUACUACUUGGCCCGACCUAGGAGACCACCUAGAAAGAUCAGGUGCUGUAGGUG